AUUGAACGCUGGCGGCAGGCCUAACACAUGCAAGUCGAACGGUAACAGGAAGCAGCUUGCUGCUUCGCUGACGAGUGGCGGACGGGUGAGUAAUGUCUGGGAAACUGCCUGAUGGAGGGGGAUAACUACUGGAAACGGUAGCUAAUACCGCAUAACGUCGCAAGACCAAAGAGGGGGACCUUAGGGCCUCUUGCCAUCGGAUGUGCCCAGAUGGGAUUAGCUAGUAGGUGGGGUAACGGCUCACCUAGGCGACGAUCCCUAGCUGGUCUGAGAGGAUGACCAGCCACACUGGAACUGAGACACGGUCCAGACUCCUACGGGAGGCAGCAGUGGGGAAUAUUGCACAAUGGGCGCAAGCCUGAUGCAGCCAUGCCGCGUGUAUGAAGAAGGCCUUCGGGUUGUAAAGUACUUUCAGCGGGGAGGAAGGGAGUAAAGUUAAUACCUUUGCCCAUUGACGUUACCCGCAGAAGAAGCACCGGCUAACUCCGUG
rnacentral:rRNA from 1 species